AAAAUUUAAUCCUAAUGGAUUUUAUAAAGUGUCGAUGUGAUGUGCCCCCCAAAGAUGGGAAUUUGGAUCUUAUUAAAGUAAAAAAAAAUCAUGAAAGAUGAAACCCAACGAGGAAUGACAUGGAGAUUGAACACAUCGAAUUGAUUAAGAGGGAGAAUCUUCUUCAAUCUUUUUUUUCAGUGCCUCCGGGAGCUGUGAGAAGGAAGAAAUGGAUAAAAUGAUGCGUUGAAGAGGAUCCCAAAAAAAAAGAGAAUUAAAUUCAAUUGAGACGAUUACGAUGCAGAGGAAUCAAAUGGCCACGAGAUGAAAAUCUCUCACAAAUUUUAAGCCAACAGCAGCAUCAUCAUACACAAAAUAAUACACAGAUGAUUGCCAGACAAAGAGAGCACCACAUAGUUGCCAGACAAUCCAUCAGUAGCUGAUGCCCGCAUCGUUCGUGGAUUUUUCGGUGAGAUUGAAAUUAUUGUUGUUUGGCACUUCUUUGCACCGGGAGAGUGUGAAUAGAAGUAAAAAAAAAUUGAGAGAAGAUGUGAAACAUUCCCAACCACAAAAUUUAGCCUCUGGGAGUCAUCCAGGAUUGCGAGGGAUCACCGUGACAGGCGCAAGAUUGAACCCUCGUCACAGAGAGCAAAACCUUCCUCAUAAGCACCAUCAUAUAGCUCAUACACGAGAUAGUCUAUAUGUUAUAGAGUUAUGAAAUGGUGGGUGGAUCUGUCAGGAUCAGCAAUAAGAUUCUCCUUGUUAAAAUAUAUUGACAACUUAUGGCAUA